ACUUUCAACAACGGAUCUCUUGGUUCUGGCAUCGAUGAAGAACGCAGCGAAAUGCGAUAAGUAAUGUGAAUUGCAGAAUUCAGUGAACCAUCGAAUCUUUGAACGCACAUUGCGCCCGCCAGCACUCUGGCGGGCAUGCCUGUCCGAGCGUCGUCUC
rnacentral:rRNA from 1 species